rnacentral:tRNA from 1 species
GCCCAACUGGCUCAAUUGGAUAGAGCAUCAGACUUCUAAUCUGGGGGUUACAGGUUCAAGUCCUGUGUUGGGUG